AGGGGGCAAGCGUUGCUCGGAAUCACUGGGCGUAAAGGGCGCGUAGGCGGGAUGGCAAGUCGGUCGUGAAAUCCUUCGGCUCAACCGAAGAACGUCGGCCGAUACUGCCGUUCUUGAGGGAUGCAGAGGAGAUUGGAAUUCCCGGUGUAGCGGUGAAAUGUGUAGAGAUCGGGAGGAACACCGGUGGCGAAGGCGGGUCUCUGGGCAUCUCCUGACGCUGAGGCGCGAAAGCGUGGGGAGCAAACGGG
rnacentral:rRNA from 1 species